GAUGAAGAACGUAGCGAAAUGCGAUAAGUAAUGUGAAUUGCAGAAUUCAGUGAAUCAUCGAAUCUUUGAACGCACCUUGCGCCCUUUGGCCAUUCCGAAGGGCAUGCCUGUUUGAGUAUCAUGAACACCUCAACUCUUCAUGGUUUUCCAUGAUGAGCUUGGACUUUGGGGGUCUUGCUGGCCUGUGGGUCGGCUCCUCUCAAAUGAAUCAGCUUGCCGGUUUUUGGUGGGCAUCACAGGUGUGAUAACUAUCUACGCUUGUGGUUUUCCACCAGGGUAACCUUCAGCAGUGGAGGUUCACUGGAGCUUACAAAUGUCUCUCCUCUUUGAGGACAGCCCUUUGAAUGUUUGAUCUAAAAUCAGGUAGGACUACCCGAUGAACUUAAGCAUAUCAAUAAGCGGAGGA
rnacentral:misc_RNA from 1 species